AUGAAGGAAGGGAGGAGAGAGAGAGGGAGGGAGGGAGGGAAGGGGCUGGGAGAACGAAGGGGAGGCGGGAGCAGGGCCGGCGGGCUGGGGACGGGUGGCGGGGAGGGCGGUACUGAGGGGGGCGAGGAUGGCUGGGAACCGGAAGGAGGGAAAAGAGAGGCCGCCCGAGGAGGUGGCGCCGAGAGUGACAGGAGAGCACGCCGGAGCUGGGGGUGGGAGACAGGCUGGGGAGCCCAGACAGAGGAUCCAGCUGGAACAAUGACGGGGGCCUGCCCAGCCAGCCCCAGCUGCUUCCUUUUCAGUGGCCCUGUGCCCCCUGCCAGAUCCUGCCUGGGGGAACUGGAGUCUGGGUCCACGAUGGAAAUCUGCCCUUGA
rnacentral:lncRNA from 1 species